GAGUUUGAUCAUGGCUCAGGAUGAACGCUGGCGGCGUGCCUAAUACAUGCAAGUCGAGCGAACGGACGAGAAGCUUGCUUCUCUGAUGUUAGCGGCGGACGGGUGAGUAACACGUGGAUAACCUACCUAUAAGACUGGGAUAACUUCGGGAAACCGGAGCUAAUACCGGAUAAUAUUUUGAACCGCAUGGUUCAAAAGUGAAAGACGGUCUUGCUGUCACUUAUAGAUGGAUCCGCGCUGCAUUAGCUAGUUGGUAAGGUAACGGCUUACCAAGGCAACGAUGCAUAGCCGACCUGAGAGGGUGAUCGGCCACACUGGAACUGAGACACGGUCCAGACUCCUACGGGAGGCAGCAGUAGGGAAUCUUCCGCAAUGGGCGAAAGCCUGACGGAGCAACGCCGCGUGAGUGAUGAAGGUCUUCGGAUCGUAAAACUCUGUUAUUAGGGAAGAACAUAUGUGUAAGUAACUGUGCACAUCUUGACGGUACCUAAUCAGAAAGCCACGGCUAACUA
rnacentral:rRNA from 1 species